rnacentral:rRNA from 1 species
GACGAACGCUGGCGGCGUGCUUAACACAUGCAAGUCGAACGAUGAAGCCGGAGCUUGCUCUGGUGAAUUAGUGGCGAACGGGUGAGUAACACGUGAGUAACCUGCUCUUGACUCUGGGAUAACUGCGGGAAACUGUAGCUAAAACCGGAUACGACCCUCGGAGGCAUUGCCCGGGGGUGGAAAGAAUUUCGGUCAAGGAUGGACUCGCGGCCUAUCAGCUAGUUGGUGAAGUAAAGGCUCACCAAGGCGACGACGGGUAGCCGGCCUGAGAGGGUGACCGGCCACACUGGGACUGAGACGCGGCCCAGACUCCUACGGGAGGCAGCAGUGGGGAAUAUUGCACAAUGGGCGCAAGCCUGAUGCAGCAACGCCGCGUGAGGGAUGACGGCCUACGGGUUGUAAACCUCUUUUAGCAGGGAAGAAGCGAAAGUGACGGUACCUGCAGAAAAAGCACCGGCUAACUACGUGCCAGCCGCCGCCGUAA